GACAAGGCGGGCAGUCCGCCAGCGGGAGCGUUGGCAGGCCUGGGGUCAGAUCCCGAAUCAGCCAGUUAGUUGCUUGAGGAUGACAGAGCUGUGUGUUGUCCAUGGUCAGAGCACACAGGAGGUCUGAACUGUUAUCCUGUUCUGCCACUGAAAUGUGUAAAAUAUAGGAGGAGUGUCCCCCAAGUCAUUUUUCUAAAAGCAUCAUCCAACUAUGAGCUGAACACUGCCCCAAGAAUGCAACAGAACCUCAACUCUGUCCCAAGGUCAUCAGCCACAGCUCCAAGCUUCUUCGCAUCAGCUUUUUCUGAACAAAAUAGUGCAUCCUGCUGGAAUCACUACUGUAAACUGAGUAUAAAGGAAAAUAAACCCUCUUUUUCUUAUC